rnacentral:rRNA from 1 species
AUUGAACGCUGGCGGCAGGCCUAACACAUGCAAGUCGAGCGAGCGGCGGACGGGUGAGUAAUGCCUGGGAAUUGCCCAGUCGAGGGGGAUAACAGUUGGAAACGACUGCUAAUACCGCAUACGUUUGGAUUGCCCAGGUGGGAUUAGCUAGUUGGUGAGGUAAUGGCUCACCAAGGCGACGAUCCCUAGCUGGUCUUAGAGGAUGAUAAGCCUAACUGAAACUGAGGCAAGGUCCAAGCUCCUACGGGAGGCAGCAGUGGGGGAUGUUGCACAAUGGGGGAAACCCUGAGGCAGCCAUGCCGCGUGUGUGAAGAAGGCCUUCGGGUUGUAAAGCACUUUCAGCGAGGAAGCGUUACUCGCAGAAGAAGCACCGGCUAACUCCGUGCCAGCAGCCGCGGUAAUUC